CGCAGCGGCCCCUGCGCUGCCCGCGGCAGGGGCGAGCGAGGCUGUCCGUCCCUCGCCCUCGCGGGCUGCGCGGACCGAGGCUGUCUCCCUGCCCGGGGAACCGAGGAAGGCUUUGCUCGAGGAAGCGGUUGCAGGGACAGGACCUUCGCCACUUGCAGGAGUAAGGCUUGAAGGCUUGGCCUUUAAGUGCUCCACUGUAACGCCGCUUGUGUGUUAACGGGGCGUUGUGUCUCGGUUUUGGAGGGCGGCUGGGCCCUUUGAAUGCCGUGGAACGUGCAGUACACACACCUGGAAAUGACCUGUGGAGGAAAAGGGAUAGGUGACUACAGUGUCGUCUCUCCAUCAACCAGGGCUGCACAGCCGCGGCUGCUGUUCUGCAGCCUGGGGAGCAGCUUUGGAGUGCCUUCUGCAGGGCUGUCGUUGACAAGCUGGAGCGUGGAUGCCUGAUUCUACACACACACGGCCCGAAAAAUAACCGGGAAAAAACGCAUUCUGCACAUAGUGGUGCUGUGUCCUAAAAAGACCCCAGAACAAUUUUUCUGCCCAGCCCCACUGCAGACAAUGCUGUGCUUUGACGCACACAUGAGGGAUAGGCUCAGACUGGGUGGGUUUUUUUCCUGUGUCUGUAUCUGUCAUGCCUAGAUUUGCCUUCAAGCAGUUUGUACUCCUAAUGAGCUGCCGUUUAAACCUACAUGCAAAAUAGAUGUGGUUUAGUCAUGCCAUUUUUGAUGCCUGUAUUCCGAAUCUAUAGUCUCAACAUUUACACUCACCCUAACAGUGGUAGCUAAAUUACAUAUACUUAGGUUUUUGGUUGUAAACUGGUUUUAUUGCUUAAAGAUCUCUGGCUAAGGCCUGCAGCCUUAGUCCCAAAUAAUGGGAUGUUCCACCUGGGUUUACCAUUGAGGUUUUGCCUUGCUUAAAUGACCUCCAAAGAUUGAUCCAGUAGUCAGAAGCUCAGGACUCUGUUUCAGAGUCACAGUUGUGAUGAUAAAGGUGGUAAUGAUGUCAAUCUUCUGCCACUGCAUAGGACUCAGAGCUGAAAGAGGCACAGGGUGGAAAUUCCACCUCUUUCUCAAGUAGAGUUUGUAACCAAAAUCUGCUUCCCCCAUGGUGAGUGCUAUAACCACUAGAAUCUGUUUGUGACUAUAGAUUCUGAAUGUUUUUGAACAAAGUUUUUAACUAAAGUAGCAAGUGCAAAAUGGGCCAAAACAUGUCCAUCCUUCUCAUCUUCUGUUUUUAUACAACUGAAAAUAUCUACAUGUUAUGUAUCACAAUACUCAACCUUCAGCCUACUUGCAUAUUUAGUUUCCACUGUAGUUUUCAUAUUUACCAACCAUAAUAAGAGUUCCAGUGGGAUUUAGACCUCUAAAUAUUGUUUAAAGAUUUGGUGAUAAAACACCUGCCUAAUUAUGAAAACUCUGCUUCUCACUUGUCUAAAUCUUCCAACACUAAAAAAUGCUUUUAAAAAAUCAGUCAUGAGCACACUUCUCUAGACAGAGGAGCACUUCCAAUUCCUCUGAAAUAGAGGACAUUUACCAUAUGCCAGGACCAAGUCUUGACAUUAAGAAGUAUGGCUACCAAAUCUACAAAUGCUUAAAUGCCUGUCACCCAAAAUCAUGAAAACUGUGCAGGAACAGAACAGAACAAUUCAUUCUGCAGAGUUGCAAGCAUCUCUGGAAACCUGAUGGGUGCAUGCAGUGUAUAUUACCAUCAAAUCCACAACAUGGAGAAAGAUGAGUCUAGUUAUAAAAUAAACAGUAUAUCUGAAGAAAUUGAAUUCUGAAAACAGCAGGAUUCAUUCUUCCCUGUCACCCUGCAUGAGUUUGGCAUUAGGUACAGAGCUCCAAACAUAAAGGUGUUCAACACCUUAGAAAGCAAAAGUGUACAGCUUUUUGGUCAAAGCAGUCCCUGGUCUUUUGGAAGGCAGUUUACCAAGAGUGUUUGUCGAAGCUUCACCACUGUUCGUUUUUGAUUGCCCAUUAGUUUUCAGUGAAUUUGUGUAGCUAGAAGUAGGGCAGAGGUUGGCUUGCAAAACUUUAGCAAGAUGAAUAUAUUUAUAUACUUAACUCUUUCUGUAAUAAUCACUAUCUAUUUUUGCAAUUUUGCAGCAUUCUGCCAAGAUCCAUGAAACCCAAAAGUUUAAAAGAGAAAGUGCACUAUAACUUGCCACUUUUAAAUUAUGUGAAUUAAGAUCAGAAUGUCAUUGUCAUUCUAUUUUCCUACCUUUUGUCACUUCUGACACACCUUUGAUGGAUCUUUUAAUAUAGGCUAUUUUGUAUUUAAAACUCCUUGUUUUUUCCUUCUUUUAUGAAAAAUCUUUUAUGGUAGGUUGUAUAACUUGUUACCAUUAUCUAGUAAGUGGAGAAGCUAGAUUUUAAAUGUUUUACUCAUCUUGCUUAAGAUUUCUCAUAAGUGAAUUGACUGCAAGAAAUAUUUAGGCAGUUUUAUAUGCACAGUUAGUGUGCUAAGUUUUGACAGCUGUAGAAAAACCCUUAUGAAAUAUCUCAAGGAGCCAGAGGUUGCAAAAUAUCACAUCCAUUCUUUUGCUUCUUUUGUCGGGAAAGGCAGCUGCUUAUUUCAGUUCUAAUAAUUUGGAACUAGUCUGCUUUUGUUUACAUUUGGAAUUUAGGGUCUGUAGUGAACGGAGCAAUGCAUGCUUAUGUAUGUAUGUUACAGGAUAGGUAAAAAAGGAUAGCUCUCUUUUUCACCUAAGAUUUUCUAACCCACUUUUGUAGUCUGGUGAUUUUUUUUUUUUACAGUCACAUCAUAACCUUAAUACAGAGAUUCAUCAGUGCUAUAGGACCUUUAAUAAAUGGUCCAAUCCUGAGGCUGUUUUGUACUUAACUCCACAUAUAUCAUGUUUAGAAUGACUGUAGCUGAAGACCAAGACAGUUUUGCCUAGCACUGCAACUUAUUGCAGUUUAUUUUGGCACCAAGUUACUGAUUCACCAUACUUCAUCAACUGUAUACACACACACACACUCGAAAAAAUAAAGUGUUAAACUGAAAACUCAAUUGGCGCAGACUGCCUCAGAGUAAAUCUUUUAUCAGUAUACAUAUUUAAGUUCACUGCAUAAUAAAUGCUUUUCUUAGCUUUCAAAAAGAUAAACUCAGGUUUUUUCAGUUGAAUUGAAGCCAAGUUCCCUCUGCUUAAAAAUUAUAAUUAUGGUAUUAGACCAGGUUCCACAGGUAGAAGAAUGUAGACAGCAUGACACACAGUUUCUGAUCUGAUGUUUUACAAGUGCUAUCAAGUGACCCUGCCUCUGCAAGUUUUUAAAAUGCUCCCUACCUACACUUAGUCAUUAGUGACCUUAAGGAUAUGUUGUAGCUGG